ACUGGACCCGUCGUCCUCUUACCUGCUUCGUCGUCCCCAGACUGAAAUUAACGUUGCCCGUUACAAGCUUAUACCAGUGUGAAUGCAUCAUUUACCUGCCUCCAGCAUACCCGUCCAGCGACAUGUGCGGUCCGAAACAUCUCAACGUGCCAAAUACUGAAUCAAAACUCCCGAAAAAGUCGCCACAGCGUACUAAUAGAGGUCAAUACAUACACCUGCACAAAAUGCUAUGCAAGAGCUUGGGCAUCUGUCAAGUCCCUUUUUCGCCAUUUCGCUUUCGUAUACAUCAGUGAGGAAGGCUGGAUAUGUAGUCUCGAGGGCUGCGCACAAAGUUUCAAGCGUUAUGCUUCCUUCAGUAAACAUGCAAGGAGACACCACAAGCAUUUCUUCACUGGCACUGAACAACAAGAUUUUGCGGUCGACCGUUUUUGCAGGACUACGCUGACAGCGAUUAUUCAGGCGACGUCGAGGAAGAGAUUCGGAAUGAAAGACA